rnacentral:rRNA from 1 species
CCUACGGGGGGCAGCAGUGAGGAAUAUUGCACAAUGGACGCAAGUCUGAUGCAGCAACGCCGCGUGGAGGAUGAAGGUCUUUGGAUUGUAAACUCCUUUUCUUGGGGAAGAGUUUGGACGGUACCCGAGGAAUAAGUCACGGCUAACUACGUGCCAGCAGCCGCGGUAAUACGUAGGUGGCAAGCGUUAUCCGGAAUUACUGGGCGUAAAGCGCACGCAGGCGGUCUCUUAAGUUUGACGUGAAAGCUCCCGGCUUAACUGGGAGAGGUCGUUGAAGACUGGGGGACUUGAGGCAAUGAGGGGGGUGUAGAAUUCCCGGUGUAGUGGUGGAAUGCGUAGAUAUCGGGAGGAAUACCAGUGGCGAAAGCGGCACCCUAGCGUUAGCCUGACGCUCAUGUGCGAAAGCGUGGGGAGCAAACGGGAUUAGAUACCCCUGUAGU